GUUGAGGGUAUGGUUAGGUGGAGUGAGUUUAGAGAGUCGGUCAAAGGAUACAAAUUUUGAGUUAUACAAGGAAUAAGUUCUGAUCUGUUGUAGAGUAUAGUGACUAUAGUCCACCACCACCACCACUACUAGAGGCAUAGACAGAGGUUUAUUUUGGAAAGUAGAGGCGUAUUCAAGAAACAGUGUGGGCCAUCUCCUCAGGAAGAAAUAGUAGCCAGUUGAUGGGUAUUAAUAUUUAUAGAGGGACAGUUGCAGUUGCUAGGGUCUGGACUAGAGUUAGAGUUGGGGUAGAAUUGCACAAUUUGGUGUCAGUUUUUCCAGCGCUUGCACAUUAACCUUAUAUUACUUUUUUGCAGGAAGGGGUCAAGAGUAUGGGUCGGGCUGCUCUGGAAUAUGUUUUGCAUUUCAAAGAUUUGUGGGCAUUUAUUGCAUUCCAGUGGCUCAUGGGCUACUCUUUUAAGGCUCAAAGUUUAUCUUUCUUUUUGUGUAUCCCCAAGUUUCCAUAUGAUUCUCCACUUCUACCGUGCAAACUUGGGACCCCUUAAGGGUUGAUGAGGGCCAUUCUCUAGAGAACCUUUGGGUAAAGCAAGGAAUAUACAUUCAAGGGAGAAUGUGGGCCACAUCUCAGAGAGAAACAGUCACGUGCUGCUUAUAUUUAUUAACAAUAUUGUAUUCUCAAGAAAUGCUAAGAGUACAUAUGUUCUCACUUCAAAAAUAACUACAUGAACCAGGCAGCCUGUAAUCCCAGCAGCCUGGGAGAUUGAGGCAGGACGAUUGCAAGUCCAAAGCCAACCUCAACAAUUUAGCAAUGUCCUAAACAACUUAGCAAGAUCUUGUCUUAAAAGAAUUUUAAAAAGGGUUGGGGAUGUAGCUCAGUGAUUGAGCGCCCCUGGAUUCAAUCCCUAGUACCAAAUAAAUAAAUAAAACAGAGGGCUAGGAAUGUAGUUCUGUAGAGGAGCACUUACCUAGCAUGUACGAGGCCCUCAGUUCACUCCCUAUCGCCACAAAAACAAACUGGUUUUGAAAUAAAAUCCAAUUUGUACAUUUCCUCAUAUUUUCGUAAGAAAAAUAG
rnacentral:lncRNA from 1 species